UCUUUCAGAGGUUGUAGCGGGCUUUUAAAGCUAGAGUAAAGAUACUGGCAUCAUAUAAAACCACAAAACCUAACGAAUCCAUUGGUACCAACAUUUCAUAGUAGCUUGUCGCGAAUGAGGCUUAAUAACGCUCCGAAUUUAUGCUAACUUUUGGGGAG